UACGAAGGGGGCUAGCGUUGCUCGGAAUCACUGGGCGUAAAGCGCACGUAGGCGGAUUGCUAAGUCAGGGGUGAAAUCCUGGAGCUCAACUCCAGAACUGCCUUUGAUACUGGCGACCUUGAGUCCGGGAGAGGUGAGUGGAACUGCGAGUGUAGAGGUGAAAUUCGUAGAUAUUCGCAAGAACACCAGUGGCGAAGGCGGGUCUCUGGACAGUUCCUGACACUGAGACACGAAGGCCAGGGGAGCAAACGGG
rnacentral:rRNA from 1 species